rnacentral:rRNA from 1 species
UACGUAGGGUGCGAGCGUUGUCCGGAAUUACUGGGCGUAAAGAGCUCGUAGGUGGUUUGUCGCGUUGUUCGUGAAAACCUGAGGCUUAACCUUGGGCGUGCGGGCGAUACGGGCAGACUGGAGUACUGCAGGGGAGACUGGAAUUCCUGGUGUAGCGGUGAAAUGCGCAGAUAUCAGGAGGAACACCGGUGGCGAAGGCGGUUCUCUGGGCCUUACCUGACGCUGAGGAGCGAAAGCAUGGGGAGCAAACAGG